rnacentral:lncRNA from 1 species
GGCCCCGGAGCUGCUCCCUGGACCUGCGGGAGGUGCUCUGCGACCGCCCACGCCCCGGCCCGCGGCGCGUCCCGGACGUCCACGCUUGCGUUUCUGCGGAUCGUGGGAAUCCUUCUGCGUGGGAGUUUUAGAAAUGCUAACCGAGCUCAGGUUUUGAACAUGUCUGGGACUGUGAAUUGGCUGCCAGAAUGAAAACAGUUUAGGCUAAUCCCUACGGGUAUGCUGCUGCCAAGUUGGUUCUUUUACUGUGCUCAUCAGAAGUGCCAGAAAAAUACCCGCACCCGCCCCCCAUUUAGCCUCUGGAAGAAGAUGUUCUAAAGGGCUCACAAACAUCCAGAUGUAGCUCUUACCAAGCUCCAGCGUCAGAAGGAGUGCCUCAGCGUCUAAGUCCGUAUAUACACACACGGCUUUUCAUGCAUCCUCUGCUGGGGAGGUCACAAUCUGAGGCACCCUUUAAAGCCACUUCUGGGAGAAAAGAAAGAGAAAAAAAAAAAUCAACCACUGAACGUCUAGUGAGCUGUUUCCUAAGGAGGCAUCAACAAACUCCUACCAGCCCCAGUUCUCAGGCAAGACUUCUGGUUUGAGUUGAAGAUGACUAUGAAUGUGUUCUGGUUGGAAAGGGAGGUGGAGUUGGAGGAGCCGGAGAGGUCUGUAGCAAAUGUUCCUCCAACAGAGCUAAGCUGGGAAAAGGAAAGCCAAUGGAAGCCAACAAAGAAGGAAGCACGAAGCAAGGCUCCCCCAGAUUCCUAGAAGCCCAGGAACACAAAAGCCAGGAAGAUGAAUCGUCUUUUACAGUAGUAGACCUGUAUAUAGGAACGGGGAAGAUUCUAGGGUGAAAGAUCCGGGCUGCCGCUGGUCACCCAGAAGGGAGUAUGUACCUUGAGUUUCGUAACACGGAAUGGAAGUUUGGAGGCCCCUUGAAAAGAACCAAAGCACAAAGGAAGUUGGGCCUGAAGAAGGCUGGGAGACCUCUCACGCAGAGACCCAGGGCUCAGGACAGAGAAAGGAAGGUAGAACGCCAAGUGGAUCUCAUAUUUGCUCUGCGGGCUUCUGGGAAGUGUUUGAAAACAUUCUAUUUAAACUGUGCCUCUUAAGAGAGCUCUCCACUUACAUCUAACUCAGUGUGCUCAUAUUAGCAAAUAGAAAUUAUGGGAACAUUCCAAGUGCUCCCCGCCUUCCUGGUCCUCCCUCCCUGACCCCGAUAGUCUGUCCUGCCUGGAGUCUGGGCGAAUGUUUGUUUCUGAGGGAUGGAAACUGAUUAAAAACUAGAAGGCUGCUUGGGAAAAAUUUUAUAAUAGCAUGUGUGAGGUGAGUUCCACAGAAGGCUAGGGAGGGCAGGAAGGCCCCGUGCAGCCAGGGCUCCAUGCAGGCCAUCUGAAAAAAGAGGCUCCUCUUCCAACCCAGAGCUGUUGUCUUAAUUGUGGUGGAACUGCUUUUCAUAUUCCCUUAGCUUUUUAACACUAAACCAAGAUGAGAAAUUGAGAAA